CAGCAGCCGCGGGAAUACGUAGGGUGCAAGCGUUAAUCGGAAUUACUGGGCGUAAAGCGUGCGCAGGCGGUUUGUUAAGACAGAUGUGAAAUCCCCGGGCUCAACCUGGGAACUACAUUUGUGACUGGCAAGCUAGAGUCUGGCAGAGGGGGGUGGAAUUCCGCGUGUAGCAGUGAAAUGCGUAGAUAUGCGGAGGAACACCGAUGGCGAAGGCAGCCCCCUGGGCCAACACUGACGCUCAUGCACGAAAGCGUGGGGAGCAAACAGGAUUAGAUACCCCCGUAGUCCCUGUCUCUUAUAC
rnacentral:rRNA from 1 species